rnacentral:rRNA from 1 species
UAAGUAAGCUUUGAUCCAGAGAUUUCCGAAUGGGGAAACCCAGCAUGAGUUAUGUCAUGUUAUCGAUAUGUGAAUACAUAGCAUAUCAGAAGGCACACCCGGAGAACUGAAACAUCUUAGUACCCGGAGGAAGAGAAAGAAAAUUCGAUUCCCUUAGUAGCGGCGAGCGAAACGGGAAGAGCCCAAACCAACAAGCUUGCUUGUUGGGGUUGUAGGACACUCUAUACGGAGUUACAAAGGACGACAUUAGACGAAUCAUCUGGAAAGAUGAAUCAAAGAAGGUAAUAAUCCUGUAGUCGAAAAUGUUGUCUCUCUUGAGUGGAUC